CAUUGUAGAUGUUCGCCUCUGCUACUCGAUUUCCAUAAUGGAACAUCCAGUUUAGGUGGGCCAAACAGCCGUGUAUCUCUUCUAGAUGGAAAGGUGUGCGGAAGGGAUUUGUACCAAUUGACCGGGUAGCAAUUGAACAGGAAGAGGCUUAGUAAGGAUAAAAUAGUAGAAGAGCACUAGAGGAUGCUUGAAGGAAUUGUAAAGCGGGAUGAGAAGUGUCGCAAAAGAAUCAAUUCUGCUGGUAUCGAUUACGAGUGUCCAGCCCCUGUAAG